GCAACUCGACUGCNCGAAGCUGGAAUCGCUAGUAAUCGCGGAUCAGCACGCCGCGGUGAAUACGUUCCCGGGCCUUGUACACACCGCCCGUCACACCAUGGAAGUCUGCAAUGCCCGAAGCCGGUGGCCUAACCACUUAUGUGGAAGGAGCCGUCUAAGGCAGGGCAGAUGACUGGGGUGAAGUCGUAACAAGGUAAC
rnacentral:rRNA from 1 species